rnacentral:rRNA from 1 species
CCUACGGGUGGCUGCAGUCGGGAAUUUUGGGCAAUGGGCGAAAGCCUGACCCAGCAACGCCGCGUGAAGGAUGAAGUAUUUCGGUAUGUAAACUUCGAAAGAAUGGGAAGAAUAAAUGACGGUCCCAUUUAUAAGGUCCGGCUAACUACGUGCCAGCAGCCGCGGUAAUACGUAGGGACCAAGCGUUGUUCGGAUUUACUGGGCGUAAAGGGCGCGUAGGCGGCAUUGUAAGUCACUUGUGAAAUCUCCGGGCUUAACCCGGAACGUGCAAGUGAAACUGCAGUGCUAGAGUGAAGGAGGGGCAAUCGGAAUUCUCGGUGUAGCGGUGAAAUGCGUAGAUAUCGAGAGGAACACCUGAGGUGAAGGCGGGUUGCUGGGCUGACACUGACGCUGAGGCGCGAAAGCGAGGGGAGCAAACGGGAUUAGAUACCCCAGUAGUC